AACUUUCAGCAAUGGAUCUCUUGGUUCUGGCAACGAUGAAGAACGCAGCGAAAUGCGAUAAGUAAUGUGAAUUGCAGAAUUUAGUGAAUCAUCGAAUCUUUGAACGCACAUUGCGCCCCCUGGUAUUCCGGGGGGCACACCUGUUCGAGCGCCAUUUCAACCCUCAAGCCUCGCUUGGUGAUGGGCCCCGCCCGCGCGGCGGGCCCGAAACUCGUGGGCGCCGUCGUCCCGGCUCCGAGCGUAGCAAAACCCUCGCUCGGGUGCCGGCCGUCGGCCGCCGUCGAACCAUCUCACAAGGUUGGCCUCGGAUCAGGUGGGGAUACCCGCUGAACUUAAGCAUAUCAAUAAGCGGAGGCU
rnacentral:misc_RNA from 1 species